rnacentral:lncRNA from 1 species
GGCACUCAUUAGUCAUAUGACUUAAUUUCUUGUUAGUUAACGACGCAUAAUUGCGCGCCGUAAAUGAUAUCGUCUCUGAGAUCACACUCCCUCAGCUCUCGAUUGUCAAAUCCGCCUCCGCCAGUGUGCCAUCCAAGGCGGAGCUCCAGAAGUUCGGCCUCUCCGACGACGAUCUCAGAGACUUCGUCAAGGGACUCACUUCCGAAUUUUUGAUUCGGAUCUUCAAAUGCGAACCAUUUCGAUCGAAUAGUUGACUCUCUCUAAUCCUUCCUGCUCUGCACUUCGCUCCUCGAAGCUCAGUUCGGAAAGAUUUGACGGAGUGGCGGGAGCGACAUACAUGCCACUUUGGUUCUCACUACUGAUAAGAUCUGACCUUUGGGGAGGCACUACUUCCAGAACACACAGGGUCUUAUCUUUGUUGUAGACAGCAGUGACAGAGACCGUGUUGUUGAGGCAAGGGAUGGAUUGCACAGGAUGUCAAAUGCGCUGCGAGAAGCUGUGUUGCUUGUUUUUGCCAACAAACAAGAUCUCCCCAGUGCAAUGAAUGCUACUGAAAUUACUGAUAAGCUUGGCCUCCACUCUCUCUGACAACGUCACUGGUAUAUCCAGAACACUGGUGCAACCUCUGGAGUGGGUCUGUAUGAAGGCCUGGAUUGGCUCUCCAACAACAUUGCUAACAAGGCUUGAUCCCUAUUUGGGAGUCAUUGUGAGGACUGCCAAUUCUGGAUGCAGGAAUGAAUAUUAUCUAGUUUGUUUUAGUGAAUAUGUUGAAAGCUAGAUGCAGUUUAUGUAGAUUAGGAUCAACAGGUAGUGUUACUAUAUUGAAGUUAUUUAUUAACUUUCAGUGAAGUGUUCUUAUCUUUCUUCUAUAACAAAUCUUUUCCUGGCCAGAAAUUAAUUGACAUUUUUUAUUUUAAUUAA